UACAGAGGGUGCAAGCGUUAAUCGGAAUUACUGGGCGUAAAGCGCGCGUAGGUGGUUUGUUAAGUUGGAUGUGAAAUCCCCGGGCUCAACCUGGGAACUGCAUUCAAAACUGACAAGCUAGAGUAUGGUAGAGGGUGGUGGAAUUUCCUGUGUAGCGGUGAAAUGCGUAGAUAUAGGAAGGGACACCAGUGGCGAAGGCGACCACCUGGACUGAUACUGACACUGGGUAGGUCGAACGAACGUC
rnacentral:rRNA from 1 species